UACGGAGGGUGCGAGCGUUAUCCGGAUUCACUGGGUUUAAAGGGUGCGUAGGUGGGAAUGUAAGUCAGUGGUGAAAUCUCUGAGCUUAACUCAGAAACUGCCAUUGAUACUAUGUUUCUUGAAUUUUCUGGAGGUCAGCGGAAUAUGUCAUGUAGCGGUGAAAUGCUUAGAUAUGAACAUUAGAACACCAAUUGCGAAGGCAGCUGGCUACAGGGAUAUUGACACUGAGGCACGAAAAGCGUGGGGAUCAAACAGG
rnacentral:rRNA from 1 species